GCACCCAUGCUGGGCUAAGACAAGGGGCAGAGGCAGAGAGAGAGAGAGGAGCCACCCUGAGAAGGAAGAGACCAGGUGGGCUCUGAGACAGGGAGACCCUUUCUACGUCGGUGCCUUGACAUGUGACUUUUUUGUCACUUCGUGCUCCAGGAUCACACCUGGAUGAACUAUCACUUUCAAAUGACCUUGUCUUUUCUCGGGCCUUCUGAACUGAUCAUCUCUUCCUUCUGAUACAAGAGGAUCUUCCCUGGAAGACCACUGCACACCUUCUAGUAACACUGCGACCCUGGAUGCAUAUUUAGAAAAAUCUCAGCACAUCUCUGGGCAAUGAAAUCAUUCUUUUGGGACCUGACACAUGAACUGAAGUGUAAUUGGCAUUCUUCGUGGAAGGGGCAUGGAUUUAAAUUGUCGUGAGUUCAAAUACCAAUCCCACCUAGCACUUACUAUACAGGUUCAGGUAUCAUGGCCUUACAUGAUAUUCAUCUGAAGCAGGAUGAGACAGAGCAGGCAGAAAAGGAAACAUUUCUGACAAUGUUCUGUUAUGAAGAAUCCACCUUUCCUAGAAGCCCCAGCAAACCUCCCAUCGGACUCAUAGGUGCAAACUGGCUGAAAGGCUCAUUCCAAGACCAAGCACAGGUACAAGGGCCAAAACUGGCUAGAACAGGCAUGACUCACCUUUUCAGCUUCUCAGUCAUCUCCUCUCAAGGGCACAGGUCUGUUUGGUUGGUUUGUGAAUAAAACUGGGGGACUGUUAUUAUGGAAGAAGCAGUGAUAAGACCCUUUCCAUAAAGAGGAGAGACGUGAACUGGCAUAUAUCACCAGGACCACCUCCAAGUAAUUG
rnacentral:lncRNA from 1 species